ACUGCCACGUGGCCCAUGCCCAGCAUAAGCUGAUGGACCACCUUCUGAACAAAACCCGUUACAACAACCUGAUCUGCCCAGCCACCAGCUCCUCACAGCUCAUCUCCAUUGAGACGGAGCUCCCCCUGGCCCAGUGCAUCAGUUGGUUUGUGCUCAGACUAUAUUCUAAAUGGCGGCCGACUCCUCUCCAGGCCUUGCUUCCGGCUUUUAGAUUGUUUUUGCCUUCUUGUCAUCUGCUCGGUAGAUGGCAGCUUUCAGAUGCUCCUAAGGGGCCAGGAAAGAGAGUGAGAAGCCAUAGAGGCUGCCAGGUCGUCCCCCUGAGGGCCCCACCCUCAUCAACUCCCUCAACUGGGUCUCCUGCACUACUGGUGGCCAUCUCGACCACCACUUUGCCCUGAGCUUCCUGCUGCUGCAGCUGGGCAGAGCCUCCUUCUCAGAGGCCAGCUGCUGAUAGGUGGCCACGUACUGCUGCAGGUGACCCAGGUAACGGUCUCGCUGCUGCUGCAGACUCUGAGGCUAUUGGCUCUUCAACUCCACCUACAGGAUAGGCACCAGGCUCCUCAUCGAUUAUGCUAUGGCCAGAGACAGUAGAGAAAGGAAUGAACGAAGAACAGAAAGGAACGCUUUGGUGGUCAGCCCUCUGCUUUCACCCCACAACCACAGAACCGUGGCACUGGAUGGGACCCCAGGAAUUAAAAGUCCCAGGUGGCAGGCCAGAGAGAAGACAUGAGUUGCCUGAGG